GGGCUGCUUCAGUUACAAAGAAUAAGAAGUGAAGAAUAUAAGUGUGCUCAUAUCUGCCAAGCAAAGCAGAGACGCACUGGGGCAUUCCAGCGGGGAUGAGAGAGCCCCACACACUUGCCAAUCCUUUGCUACCAAUGUGAAGACAGACGAUGCUGCCGAAGAGACAGGCUGCUGUGACGGUUCUACUUAGCUUCAACUCUAAAAUAUCAAGCAUGUUCCAGGAAAGUUGGCUGGUUUCUACAUCAUUUCCCUUAAACAGGAGACUUUUCUGAAGGAGAUCCACCCGUUAAAAGUGAAUGGAAAAUGGCGCCGACCUGAUGGAUGUUUUACAAGCAAAUUGGUGAUAAAGCACGGGUCAAACCCUGAGACUUUCUACUGCUUCUGAUGACUCUUGGAUAAAGACCAAAAUCCUAACCCGAAGACCAGGAACCAGUGGUGCUCCUCCCUCCUCAAACCAUAGCUGCCACACCCCAACUCUUUGCACAUAGGCUUCUGGUCUUGAGCUGAUGCAUCGUGACAGCAUCCCUCCAGGCUCCUUACGCUUUCAGAUUCAAGCCAGUCAUUGCUUCUUCAAGAAGGUUCUUCCUGCCCUGCUCCCAUAGAUAUAAUCAAGCUUCCCAAUCUGUCAUUCUUUAACAUCAUUAAACUGUCUUUUGAAGCAUCUACUGUAAUUGCAAUACAUAUAAUUUAUAAUUUGUCUGAUGCUACUUCCCCAACCAGAUUCUAAAUCCCAUUGAAACAUGAACAGUAUCUGAUAUUUGCUCAGUCUUAGGUCAGUAACAUCUGUAAUGGGUUGAACUAUCUACUCCCUAAAAUGUGUGUGCUUGACACUAUUGCAUAUGCCAGCAAGAUUUUGCUGAACGGACCCUGA